UCCGCUUCUCUUCCGGUUUCCUCGGCCGCCGCAGCCAUGAGCAGCAAAGUCUCACGCGACACCCUGUACGAGGUGGUGCGGGAAGUCCUGCACAGGAACCAGCGCAAGCGCCGCAAGUUCCUGGAGACGGUGGAGCUGCAGAUCAGCCUGAAGAACUACGACCCUCAGAAGGACAAACGUUUCUCGGGCACCGUCAGGCUUAAGUCCACCCCUCGCCCCAAGUUCUCGGUGUGCGUCCUGGGGGACCAGCAGCACUGUGACGAGGCCAAGGCCGUGGAUAUCCUGCACAUUGGACAUCGAGGCCCUGAAGAAGCUUAAUAAGAACAAGAAGUUGGUGAAAAAGCUGGCCAAGAAGUACGACGCGUUCUUGGCCUCUGAGUCUCUAAUCAAGCAGAUCCCGAGGAUCCUGGGCCCAGGCCUCAACAAGGCGGGCAAGUUCCCCUCCCUGCUGACACACAAUGAAAACAUGGUGGCCAAAGUGGACGAGGUCAAAUCUACAAUCAAGUUCCAGAUGAAGAAGGUGCUGUGCCUGGCUGUUGCUGUUGGCCAUGUGAAGAUGACCGAUGAUGAGCUGGUCUACAACAUCCAUCUGGAUGUCAAUUUCUUGGUGUCCUUGCUCAAGAAAAACUGGCAAAAUGUCCGGGCUUUGUACAUCAAGAGCACCAUGGGCAAGCCCCAGCGUCUGUAUUAGGAUGCUGCUCCAAUAAACCUGUGCUACCACCCAAAAAAAAAA